rnacentral:lncRNA from 1 species
AUGGAGAAUAUCAAAGUUCAGGACCAGAAGAUGACUUCGAAUCUUGUUUGAGAAAUAUGAAGUCACAGUAUGAAGUUUUUCGAAGUAGUAGACUCUCAUCAGAUGCUACAGUUUUGACACCAAAUACAGAAAGCAGUUGUGAUUUAAUGACCAAAACUAAAUCAACUAGUGGAAAUGACGACAGCACAUCCUUAGAUCUAGAGUGGGAAGAUGAAGAAGGUAUUUUAUAAUUCACAAUUUUACCUGAAAAAUUUAACGUAAUCUGUGUUGAUUUAUGUAAAUCUACCUUGGUCUUUAUUUAAAUGGAAAUAAAUUCAAGGCCUUGAAAAAUCA